rnacentral:lncRNA from 1 species
GAGAAUAUUCAUCAGGGCAGAGGGUACGGCUUGUUCACACCACCCCACUCUUCAUCUCAAAUCAGCUGUGCAAACAGACUCACUGGCCCAGGGGGGAAGGCGGCACUGCCCGGAGGUCACUAAUACAGAACCUGAGGGAAUGCAGGUGAUGAUGGUACAACCUGCCCAGUAUCCCAAGUAACUAAAAGAACUCAGCACACAGACACUAGCUCUCAUCCACACCAACAUUUCUAACUUUUUCCAGCCAGA